AAUGGGCGGAAGCCUGAUCCAGCCAUGCCGCGUGAAGGAUGAAGGCGCUCAGCGUUGUAAACUUCUUUUGGAUGGGGACAAUAAUCUCGAUUUAUCGGGACUUGAGGGUACCAUCAGAAUAAGCACCGGCUAACUCCGUGCCAGCAGCCGCGGUAAUACGGAGGGUGCAAGCGUUAUCCGGAAUCACUGGGUUUAAAGGGUGCGUAGGCUGUUAGAUAAGUCAGUUGUGAAAUUCCCCGGCUUAACCGGGCGAACUGCGAUUGAUACUGUUUAACUUGAAUGAGGUUGAGGUAGGCGGAAUGUGGCAUGUAGCGGUGAAAUGCUUAGAUAUGCCAUAGAACACCGAUUGCGAAGGCAGCUUGCUGGGCCUUCAUUGACGCUGAGGCACGAAAGCGUGGGGAGCAAA
rnacentral:rRNA from 1 species